AGUGAACGCUGGCGGUAGGCCUAACACAUGCAAGUCGAACGGCAGCACAGUAAGCGCUCGCUUUUCCGGGUGGCGAGUAGCGGACGGGUGAGGAAUACAUAGGAAUCUACUUUUUCGUGGGGGACAACGUAGGGAAACAUAUGAUAAUACAGCACACGACCUAUGGGUGAAAGCAGGGGAUCUUCGGACCUUGCGCGCUCGAACGAGCCGAGUUGGGAUUUGUUAGUUGGUGGGGUAAAGGCCCACUAAGCCGACGUACCGUACCUGGUCUACGUGGAUGAUCGGCCACACUGGAACGGGAACACGGUCCAGACUCUUACGGAGGGCGGCGGUGGGGAUUAUUGGACAAGGGGCGCAGUCCUGCUCCAGCCAUACCGCGUGGUUGAGGAAGGCCUUCGAGUUUUAAAGCCCUUUUUUUGGGAAGGAAGAGCGGCAGAUUAGAACCCCGCUGUUCUGACGGUACCCAAAGAGUAAGCGCCGGCUAACUUCGUG
rnacentral:rRNA from 1 species